rnacentral:rRNA from 1 species
UGGGGAAUAUUGGACAAUGGGCGCAAGCCUGAUCCAGCCAUGCCGCGUGGGUGAAGAAGGCCUUCGGGUUGUAAAGCCCUUUUGUCCGGAAAGAAAUCCUGUCGGUUAAUACCCGGCGGGGAUGACGGUACCGGAAGAAUAAGCACCGGCUAACUUCGUGCCAGCAGCCGCGGUAAUACGAAGGGUGCAAGCGUUACUCGGAAUUACUGGGCGUAAAGCGUGCGUAGGCGGUUCGUUAAGUCCGGUGUGAAAGCCCUGGGCUCAACGUGGGUACUGUAUUUGAUACUGGCGAGCUGGAGUGCGGUGGAGGAUGGUGGAAUUCCCGGUGUAGCGGUGAAAUGCGUAGAGAUCGGGGGGAACACCAGUGGCGAAGGCGGCCAUCUGGAGCAGAACUGACGCUGAGGCACGAAAGCGUGGGG